rnacentral:rRNA from 1 species
UGUUUGGAGAGUUUGAUCCUGGCUCAGGACGAACGCUGGCGGCGUGCUUAACACAUGCAAGUCGAACGGAAAGGCCCUUUCGGGGGUACUCGAGUGGCGAACGGGUGAGUAACACGUGGGUGAUCUGCCCUGCACUUUGGGAUAAGCCUGGGAAACUGGGUCUAAUACCGAAUACACCCUGCUGGUCGCAUGGCCUGGUAGGGGAAAGCUUUUGCGGUGUGGGAUGGGCCCGCGGCCUAUCAGCUUGUUGGUGGGGUGAUGGCCUACCAAGGCGACGACGGGUAGCCGGCCUGAGAGGGUGACCGGCCACACUGGGACUGAGAUACGGCCCAGACUCCUACGGGAGGCAGCAGUGGGGAAUAUUGCACAAUGGGCGCAAGCCUG